rnacentral:piRNA from 1 species
UAACUAAGGAAGGCUGUUGAUUCUGGUCA